rnacentral:lncRNA from 1 species
GGGUUUAGAGUUAAGAGGUGAAGUUUUAGAAUUAGGGUUUAAAAUUUUGUAAAAUAAAAAAUUAAAUACUAAAAAAUAAAAAAUAAAAAUUUAAAAAACAGUUUCAAAAAGUAUUUUUGAAUUAUAAAAAUAAAAUAUGAAAAAAGAAUAAAAAAAAAUUUCAAAAAACAAAUUUCAAAAAAAAUUAUAAAAAAAUUUGAAUCUGAAAACAUAUAAUCUGAAACUAUAAAAAAAAUUCUUUUUUAUUUUUAUUUUAUUUGUUUUUAUUUUUUUUUGUUUUGUUUGUUUAAUUUUAAACCAAGAGUAUUGGGAUAUUUUACCCUUUAGUGAAUGUCAUUUUUGUGACUUUCUCUUUCUAGUGCCAUUUUUGAGACAAAAACUCAAAAUGUGCUAUUAUUGACAAUUGCCCAAAAAAGAAUAUGGAGGAGAAGGAGAAGGAGAAAAGAGUGCAUAUAUACUUCCAAGAUCUGAUUGAAUUCUUGGUUUUUGUUUAUUUCACCUUCAGGACUCCGAUUCAAUUGAUGCAAGGCGGGAUCCAAUCCCUGCUCACAAACCAGCAAGUAAAACUUGGUGGAUGUGUUAGACAAUUGGUUCCCGGCCUGCACCAAGCGAAUCCAAGCCAGACGGUGACCCUUAUCAUAUUAUCUCAAAGGAGAAACCCACGGCUUACUGCUAUAGAAAACAAAAAGAAAAAGAAUACCAAGAGAGAAAAGAAAAAGUUUUGGUUUGUAACAGCGAAAUGAGGUAAAGAGAGCUUUGUUGUUUUUAGACUGUAACAAAAAGAGACAACCUUAGCCUCAUUUGUAGAGUAUUUAAUAAAGAUAAUAAACCACUCAUGUACUGACAUAUGUCUUCACUUUCAUACCAUUGACUGAUGACUAUGGAGAUAUGAAUUAGAUUUUUUACCUUUUUAAUAAUAAAAAUUAGGGAAUGCUAUCACCACUUUUACGUGGUUCAACAAUUAAUCCACGUGCGGGCUAUAUGUACAUGUGACGUCGACUACUUUUGUGUCUUCCACAUUUAUAUAAUAUUUGAUCAUGAUCUGUGAUUUCAAAGGUGGAAUUAUUUAUGUUUACGAAAUUUUAUUUAAUAAAAAUUAUAAUUAUAUCAAAAAUUAAAAUUUCAGUUUUAAGAUUAUGAAUUAAAGCGAAAACGUUAAUUUGAAAUAUAUAUAAUGUUUAUUUAUGGUAGUUUUGUUUAACAGAAUAACAUAUGUUCACAUAUAAUUUUAUUUGUGAUUUAGUAUUAUAUAAUCAAUUAGAAUUUCAUAACUAAAUAAUAAUAAAAGAUUCAAAAAAAUAUGAUUUUAUAUUUGGUGUCUAAACCUAUUUUAACAAAUUAAAAUAAAAAUAGAGUAAAAUAUCGUUUAACAUGUUUCGUACUAGUCAAAUUUUAUAUAUAUAAUAAAUGAGUGUAUUUAUUAAAAUCAUAUAAUCCUAAUACAAGCGCUAGAUAAUUCAUCUUUAAUAAUAUGAUUUUUCUAGACUAUAUAUAUGUAAGUUAGAAUCACACGGAAAUAGUGUACUGAUAGACGAAUUACAUUUUUCCGGUAACCACAACAUUAAAUAUGUGUAGUCACAAAAAUAUAAAGUCAUGUUUUAGGUUUCAUUUGAAUAUUUAGAGUGAGAGAUUAUUAGGAGACUGCACUAUCUUUUUUAAAUUUAUCCUGAAUCUCUGCAUGAAUAUAAAAUACUCCGAAGAUUAAACAAAAACAAAUUGAAGAAUUAUGCAACAUGAAAGAAAAUGUCGAAAGGGAAUAGAGAUGCUAACUACUUUCUUUAAAAUGCUCCAUAAUUUAAUUAAUGAUUACUUUCUCAUUUUUAGAUCAAAUUUACUAAUUUAGUAAUCUUUUGUGUUCUUUAAAUCGGCAUAUUCGGAAGCAUCGCCGCCGAGGAUAUUCAGAAGGUAAAUUAUAUUCGUAAGCAUUUUUCUUAUCAACGCAGGUAUCAUUGAUUAAGCCCAAUGGACAUUGAUACAUUUGGUAUUAAAAUUUACAACACGGAGAAGAAGCCCAUCUAAUUUACAAUUAAUCAGCCUAAUUAAAGAAACAUCGAGAAAACUUUCAACUUAAUAGCAAGUGGUUCUGCAGAAGCCUCGUCGCUUGGACACACGUCACACAUGCCUUGAGCGGCAAUCUCGGCUGCGUAUCAGAGCAGCACCACCGAAAGCUUCCGGAAAAUGCCUCUCUAUCUCUUUGCCUCCAUCGCAAAAUCCAACUCCGAUACCAAACUUGAAACCUUUCCACUUUAAAACCGCGAAUACUUAGAGCAAGUAACCUUGAUUCACCGCAGUUAUGCCCAAGGAAACUUAAACCAAGCAGAAGAAGGACUUUUGCCAGACCACUUCAAAGUGCCUGGUCAUUUAAUCCUCUUCAAAACAUGAUUCAAGACAUCCAUAAAAACUCUUUUUUCUACCUUUCAGAAAUGCUCCGUUAUAACACCAUAAUUGGCUAAUAGCAAAGCACGAAGCCUGAUUCUCCUAUUUAGAAAUCAGAGUAAGCGAUGAAAAAUGUAUUUUAAAACGGGCUGAGAUUUAGAACCAAGUGGAAAGCUGGAUAUAGACUUUUAUUAAUCAAUCCAAAAGUCAGACAAAAAAAAAGAAAAUGACGCAAAGCUCUGCUUUGAGUUGAAGAACACUACAAAAAAAAUUCUAGGGAAACACAGAUCCGCUAGUCGGACGACAAGAGUCGCCAAGCGAUAAUAGCAAGAGAAAGAAGGUGGCGAUGGGUGGCGAAAUAUUAGUUGAAGAAAACUUUCCUAGAUAUUUAUCUCGAUAAAGAAAACUUUCCUAGAUAGUGUUGGAGUAAGAUUGAAGAAAGCUUAAGGCCCAAGUAAACCUAUUCCUACUUAGAUUAUGAACUUUAGAGAUAAGGAUCAUAUUGUGAUUACUAUUAGGAAUAGGAGUUAUGAGUUAUCUAUAAAAGCAAUGUCGUGUGUUUGACAUUAGCUGUGAGUUUGAGAAUUGUGAUUUGAGGCUUUAGUUUUUGAGAUACUUUUCUAAAGCAUUGAGAGUUGAUUAAUAAGAAGAUUUGAGUUUGUUGAGAUUGCUUGUGAUUCUAUAUUUGGUAUCAGAGCCACACAUCAAUCUUAACAAAAGAACAUGAGCGACGUGAAAGAUGACCCUGAGAUCAGCACCAAAGGCAAAGAUAAUGGAUCUUCUUCCAUCAAACUUCCGAUGCUCUCUUCUUCGAAUUACACCGUAUGGGCUAUGAGGAUGAAGAUAGCAUUGAAAGUUAACAAGGUGUGGGAAACUAUCGAACCAGGAAAUAAAUCUGAAGAUAAGAAUAACUUGGCUAUUGCGUUGUUGUUUCAAUCUAUACCAGAGGCGUUAACUUUGCAAGUCGGAGAGUUGGAUACAUCUAAAGCCGUAUGGGAAGCGAUCAAAGCGCGGCAUGUUGGAGCUGAAAGAGUGCGUGAAGCUAGACUACAAACCUUGAUGGCAGAGUUUGACCGGCUUAAGAUGAAAGAUGGAGAUACAAUUGAUGUAUUUGUUGGAAAGCUAUCCGAGAUAUCUUCAAAAUCAGCUUCAUUAGGAGAGAUGAUAGAGGAACCAAAGCUUGUGAAGAAAUUUCUUAAAAGCUUGCCUAGAAGGAAAUAUAUUCACAUGGUUGCCUCUCUUGAGCAGGUCUUGGAUCGUAAUACAACUAGUUUUGAGGAUAUUGUUGGAAGGUUAAAAGCUUAUAAGGAAAGAGUAGCUGAGGAAGAUGAGGAAUCGCAUGAUGAGGAAACCAAACUGAUGUAUACAAAUGCAGACUCAUAUCAGGAAGGUUACGGCGGUGGCUAUGGCAGAGGAAGAGGACGUGGUGGUCGCUCUAACUGGAGAGGAAGAGGCCGUGGCCGCUCUGGCACGUAUCAUAGCCAGAAGGAAGCAUACAAACAAGGACGAGGAAGAGACCUCUCCCACAUAAAUGCUUCCAAUGUGAGAAACAGGGCCACUAUGCCUCUGAUUGUCCUGAUAAGGAGUUGAAACUUCAAGAAACAAUAGAAAAGAAGGAUGAAGAUACUCAAGUAGCUGAUGAGUUAAUGAUGAAUGAGGUGGUUUAUCUCAAUGAACAGAAAGUGAAUCCAAAUAUGUUUGAGACUGAAGCAGACACAAGGAAUGUAUGGUACCUAGACAACGGAGCCAGUAAUCACAUGAGCGGAAAUCGACUGUUCUUCUGCGAUUUAGAUGAGACCAUUACAGGUUUAGUUCGAUUUGGCGAUGACUCAAGAAUUGAUAUUAAAGGAAAAGGCGCGGUUCGUUUUAUAUUCAAAGGUGGUGAGAAGAAAAUCUUGAAGAACGUCUAUUAUAUAUCGGGUCUUAAGAGCAAUAUUGUGAGCUUAGGUCAAGCUACUGAGGUUGGUUGUGAGGUACGCAUGAAAGAUAAUACUCUGACUCUCUUUGACCGUAUGGGGCAAUUGAUGGUAAAAACAACAAGGUCAAAGAACCGCUUAUACAAGGUCAAUCUUGAAGUUGAUCAUGUGAGGUGCCUUCAGAUAACCUCAACUACGGAGUCGUCAAAGUGGCACGCACGCUUGGGCCACCUUAACAAGGAGACAAUGAAGAUGAUGAUCAAUAAAGACUUCGUUGUUGGAAUUCCUAAUAUUGAAGUGAGUAAGGAAACAUGCGUCUCCUGUCUACUUGGAAAGCAAACCAGACGAUCAUAUCCACAAGCAACAUCUUAUAGAGCAAGUGAUCCGCUUGAACUCAUCCAUGGUGACCUUUGUGGGCCUAUCACACCAGCAACACCAGCACACAAGAGAUAUGUGUUCGUUCUUGUUGAUGAUCACACUCGUUACAUGUGGACGAUACUAUUAGGUGAAAAGAGUGAAGCCUUUGAGAAGUUUAAAAAAUUUCGAGUACUUGCCGAGCAAGAAACACAGUUUGAGCUUAAGACUUUGAGGACAGAUAGAGGAGGCGAGUUUAUCUCUUAUGAGUUUCAAAAUUAUUGUGAUAAGCAUGGCAUCAAACGCCACUUGACAGCUCCCUACUCACCUCAACAGAAUGGAGUUGUGGAGCGACGCAAUAGAACGCUAUUAGAGAUGACAAGAAGCAUCUUAAAGCAUAUGAACGUACCGAACUUGUUUUGGGGGGAAGCAAUAAGGCAUGCUACCUAUUUAAUAAAUAGGGUUGCAACAAGAUCACUUGAGGGGAAGACACCAUAUGAAGCCUCAGAAAGAGAAAACCUAAUCUUAGUCAUCUAAAAAUAUUUGGGUGUGUGUGCUACGCACAAACAACCAAAGUGGGGCGCAAGAAGUUAGAUGACAGAACACGAAUGCUCGUUCACUUAGGCACGGAACCUGGAACGAAGGCUUAUCGUCUGGUUGAUCCAUUGAGCAAGCGUAUCGUGGUAAGCCGGGACGUCGUGUUUGAUGAAGAGAAGGAAUGGAACUGGGGUCAAGCAGAGGAAACAGAGCAUUGUGAUCCGGGAGCGUUUUCAUUUGAGGUAAAGCGUUUGGGUGAUGGUUCUGAUGAGCUCGAUACUCCCGUGGGAGCUCAUGAAGAGAAUGGGGAUGUGGAUUUAGUCGAUGAUGAUGACGAAGAACUGACAGACGAUGAAGAAGAGAUCUCCCAACCAAGGAGAUCAUCUCGUGUGAGUACAAGACCUUCAUACCUCGAUGAUUAUGUUUUGUUUGCUGAAAUAGAAGGAGAACGGUUGUUGUUGAUGAUAAACGAAGAACCUUGGGACUAUAAUGAGGCCAAGAGCUUGAAGGUUUGGGUGGAUGCUUGCAAAGACGAACUACUAUCUAUUGAAAAAAAUAAAACAUGGGAUCUAGUGGAGUUACCGGAUGGCCUGAAACCUAUUACUCUCAAGUGGGUUUUUAAAAUCAAACGAAACGCAGAUGGGAGCAUCAGUAAGUAUAAAGCACGCCUUGUAGCUAAAGGUUAUGUUCAGAGACAUGGUGUAGAUUUUGAUGAAGUUUUCGCACCGGUAGCUCGUGUGGAAACAAUACGUUUGGUCAUUGCUCUAGCAGCCUCAAAUGGGUGGGAGAUACAUCAUCUAGAUGUUAAGACAGCAUUCCUACAUGGAGACCUUAAAGAGGUGGUAUAUGUUACUCAGCCGGAAGGGUUUGUUGUGCGAGGAGAAGAACAGAAGGUAUACAAACUUAAAAAAGCUCUUUAUGGUCUUCGUCAAGCUCCUAGGGCCUAGAACAUCAAGUUAAACCAGAUUCUGCGAGUACUAUCUUUUGCUAGAUGCUCAAAAGAGCCAUCACUAUACCGUAAAGUCGUGAACCAAGAGCUUCUUGUUGUUGUGGUAUAUGUGGAUGAUUUGUUAGUAACAGGAUCGUCACUACGUUUGAUACAAGAGUUCAAGUUAGAGAUGGCCGAAAAAUUUGAGAUGAGUGAUCUUGGGCUUCUCACAUACUAUUUGGGGAUAGAAGUUUGCCAAUAUGAUGGAGGCAUUAUACUAAAACAAGACCGCUACGCACAUAGAAUACUAGAGGAAACUGGUAUGAGUUCGUGUAAUAUGACGCAUUGUCCGAUGGAGAUGAACGCAAAGUUCUCUAAAGCAGUCGAGGAGAAGAACAUAGAUGAGAGGGAGUAUCGUCGAGCAAUUGGAUGUCUCAGGUAUUUGCUUCACACCCGUCCCGAUCUAUCCUUUAGUGUUGGAGUGCUUAGUCGAUAUAUGCAGUCGCCAAAGGAGAGUCAUGGUGCAGCUCUAAAACAAAUCUUGAGGUAUUUAAGGGGAUCAUGUUCGCUUGGACUUAGGUUCACGCGUAGCAAAGAUCUAAGGUUGCUGGGUUAUAGUGAUAGCUCGCACAAUGUUGAUUUGGAUGAUGGAAAGAGCACCACAGGACAUAUAUUUUAUCUUGGGAAGAGUCCUAUAACCUGGUGCUCAACUAAGCAAGAGAUCGUGGCACUGUCAUCCUGUGAGGCUGAGUUCAUGGCAGCGACCGAGGCAGCAAAACAGGCAAUAUGGCUUCAAGACCUUUUGAGUGAAACGAUUGGAGAGGACUGUAAGCGUGUGACUAUUAAAGUUGAUAAUAAGUCAGCCAUUGCACUUACAAAGAAUCCAGUGUUUCAUGGACGUAGCAAGCAUAUUCAUAGAAGGUUCCACUUCAUCAGAGAAUGUGUUGAACAUGAACAUGUAGAGGUGGAGCAUGUGCCCGGAAAUGAACAGCGAGCAGACAUACUGACAAAGUCACUUGGUAGAAUCAAAUUCAAGGAGAUGAGAGCUAUGAUUGGAGUUGAAGAUGUGAGUGAAGAAAAGCUUAAGCUUAAGGGGGAGAUUGUUGGAGUAAGCUUGAAGAAAGCUUAAGGCCCAAGUAAACCUAUUCGUACUUAGAUUAUGAACUUUAGAGAUAAGGAUCAUAUUGUGAUUACUAUUAGGAAUAGGAGUUAUGAGCAGUGGCGGACCCGGACUUUGUUUUAACAUGGGUCAAAAUUUUAAAUGGGCUUUAGGUCUAAGAAAAAAAAGGCAAAAAUAUGGUAUCAAAUAGUAUUGAAGCCUGGUUUAGGGGGGUCAGAUGAAGAGAUCUAACCACCUGAACUAUCAAAUCUUAAUCUUUUACAUGUAAAAGUCUAACUUUUUAUAAUUUAAAGGGUGUCAGCUGACCCACCAUUAAUGCACGUGGGUCCGUCUCUGGUUAUGAGUUAUCUAUAAAAGCAAUGUCGUGUGUUUGACAUUAGCUGUGAGUUUGAGAAUUGUGAUUUGAGGCUUUAGUUUUUGAGAUACUUUUCUAAAGCAUUGAGAGUUGAUUAAUAAGAAGAUUUGAGUUUGUUGAGAUUGCUUGUGAUUCUAUAGAUAGAAGUUGAAAAAACUUUCUAGAGAGAGAAAUAUCAGUUCAUGUCUAUCCUUUAUAUUCGUAAGCAUUUGUGAUCACCAAACUUUCACAUUGAAGAUCCUUUUAAUAAGAAAUAUAAAAAUCUAAUUAACGUUAACAGGAAAUAUAUAUCUGAUUCUAUUUCUGUGAUAAUAGACAAACUGCGUACAGACUAUCUCGUGAUGUAGAGUCAAUAAAUGUGAAUAUAUAGUGCUACUUUUCUAUCUUUUACGGCGCCGACAGUUUAUUUUUUCUCCUAACAAACUGAAAAUUUGACGUUAUAUAUUUUUUCCGCCACACUUUUUGACCAUGCAAUAUAUUAUAUAAAUUUAUAACAAAAUACCUCGAAAAUAUUGUAGCAAAUGUCUCUUCUUUAUUUAGGAUUGGGAACUUGAGAAAAAAGAGUUAUUCUUGGGUUCACCCGGAUGAUGAAUCUUUAGGUUCACCAACCAAUAGAAAAUUCUCAUUUUAGACCUAGUAUCUUUUAAUUAAGGAAACUAAAUAACUUGGUAAAUUAUAUUAUUUUUUCAAAAUAAAAUUUAAAAAUAAAUAAAAAUAAUAUAUACAAAACACUAAACCCUAAACUCUAAUACUAAACCCUAAACUCAAAUCCUAAACCCUAAACCCUUGGGUAAACCAUAAAUCCUUGGAUAAACCCUAAACCCUUGAAAAAACACUAAACAUGUUGUCAACAAAAUACUAAACCCUAAACUCUAAUCCUAAACCUUUGGAUAAACCCUAAACUCUUAGGUAAAUCCUAAACCCUUAGAUAAACUCUAAACCUUUGGAAAAACACUAAAUAUUUGGAUAAAUUCUAAAUUAUAAAUGUUAAACACUAACCUCUAAAUCUUAAAAACAAAUAUUAUUUUUAAAUAAUCUUUUUUUAGAACUAUUGUUAUUUUUAUUUAUUUAAUCUUUUAUUUUUUAUUUUAAAAGCAUAAUAUAAUUUGGCAAGUUAUUUUGUUUCCUUAAUUAAAAGAUACUAGAUCUAAAAUGAUAACUCUCUAUUGGUUGGUGAACCUAAAAGUUCACCCUAUAGAGUGAACCCAAGAAAAAGUCGAGAAAAAAAUAUGUUCCGUUUAUGUACGACGAGUCAUUCUUGGGUUCACCCCCUAGGGUGAACCUCUAGGUUCACCAACCAAUAGAAUUUCAUUAUUUCAAAUUCGAUAUCUUUUAAAAAAGGAAACAAAAUAUUCUCAAAUUAUAUUAUGUUUUUAAAAUAAAAAAGUAAAAAAAGAUAAUAGUUACAGAAAAAAAAUAAAAAAAAUAUAUAUUUUUAAUGUUGUCAACAAAACACUAAACCCUAAAUCCUAAUCCCUAAACCUUAAAUCAUAAACCCUAAACCCUUGGGUAAACCCUAAACCCUUGGAUAAAUCCUAAACUCUAAAUAAAAAACGAUUAAAACCCUAAACCCAAAACGCUUGAAUGUUUUAGUGUAUAGUGAUUUUGAUUUAGAGUUAAGGAUUUAUCCUAGAGUUUAGGAUUUAUCCUAGAGUUUAGGGUUUAUCCAAGGGUUUAGUGUUUAGGAUUAAGGGUUUAAGGAUUAGAAUUUAGGGUUUAGGGUUUAAUGUUAUGCUGACGACGUAAAAUAUUUUUUUUGUAAUUAUUAUUAUUUUUUUUACCUUUUGAUUUUAAAAAUAUAAUAUAAUUUGACAAUAUUUUGUUUUCUUUUAAAAAAAAUAUCGAAUAUAAAAUAAGAUAAUCUUAUUGGUUGGUGAACCUAGAGGUUCAUCCUAGAGGUGGACCUAUGUACGACCACAAGCUACAGAGUCUCGACAAAACGGCACAACUCAAAGCAUAUUUGGAACGGGCUACAACACCAAGCCCAAGUCGCUACCGUCCAAUUAGUCUGAGAUUAAAAUUUGAAAUAAAACUUUCGUUCCAAGCUGAUAUUUAUAGGAAUUACUAAGAAAGACAAACCUUUAAUUUUUUUUUUUUAAGAAAGACAAACCUUGAUAAAAAAAAGGACAGACAAAUCGUGUGCCGUUGGCAAUUGCUUCCUCGUUGGGCCAUAAAUAAGUAUUCAUGCUUGACACUAUUAGAUUCAAACAUUAUACCUAACUUUUAGGAUAAGUAGAUAAAUACUCAUGUCUCUCCGCAGGUUUAACUUCAGUAUGUUAAUUCACUUGGCUAAUAUGAUCUAUGAAAUAUGUUUAAAAUUCUUUAAUUAGGCCAUGUUCAUUUUUGUAUUUGGUUACAACAUCUAUACAUUUCAAUACUAUAUUUGGACGUUACAUUUUAUUGGAGGAUAUAUACGAAUAUGUUCAUAUAUAUUCGGAUAUAUUCAAAUAUGUUAAUAUUUUUGUAAUCUAGAUGUGCAUAUCUUCUGUUAUUAGGAAGCAUCGUAUGUAUAUGUACUUUGGUCUAUUGACCUUCAUCAAUACAAGAAAUCCUUUAUACGAUACUAGAUUUUUUGACAUGGUAUCAGAGCUAUAAACACACAAAUUUUUCUUCUAGCUCGUUUUUGUUCUUCAAAACUUACCGGUCCCUACAUUAUUUUUUUAAACUCUCGUCUGAGAUAUGGGCAGUGACGACGGUCAUGAUGAUACGCAGGGUUCCUCUGGAAAGCCUCCAGCUGCGCAAUCACAAGUGGCGGUCCGACGUCGUACGAUCUCUCCAUAUGAUCUUUCAUCAAGCGACAACCCCGGCUCUGUUAUCUCUCAACCAUUACUUAAAGGAACAAACUACAACGAAUGGUCCACUAACUUACGGAUGGCUCUCAAGGCACGGAAGAAGUUCGGUUUUGUUGAUGGUUCAAUACCUCAGCCGAGCAGUGAUUCUGCUGAUCUAGACGACUGGUGGACUAAUAAUGCCUUGGUUCUAUCUUGGAUCAAGUUAACCAUUACUGAAUCUGUUCGCUCAAAUCUCUCUCACCUUGAGAUUGCAAGCGACUAUUGGGAACACAUUAAGCGUCGUUACUCCGUUAAUAAUGGACAGAGAGUUCAACGUUUUAAAGCAGAACUUGCAACUUGCAGACAACACGGCUUGUCUAUUGAAGCUUACUAUGGGAAACUCAUGCAGUUGUGGACUGCUUUAGCAGAGCACCGAAUCACCAACAACUGUGGCUGUCCAAUUGGCGUUAACCUUGAGAAAGAGAGAGAAGAGGAUCAACUUCAUGAGUUCCUAAAGGGACUGGAUGAAUCUCUCUAUGGUUCUGUUAAAUCAAACCUCUUGUCUCGUGAUCCUCUCCCAUCUCUUGACGUUGCUUACAGUGCAUUACUACAGGAUGAGGACUUUAAACAUACCAACCGGGUUCUCGAUGACAGAGCUGAUACAAUGGCUCAUGCAGUUCGUACAGGACAGAGCUUUAGUUCCUCCUCUUCCUCCAGCACGUAUGUGUCUAAAGAAGAAAGAAUGAAGCUCACUUGUACGAGCUGUGGACGCAAAGGACAUCUUGCGACAAACUGCUUCCGCACCUUAGGCUACCCUGAAUGGUGGGGAGACAGACCUCGUGGUCGCUUAUCACCUGGUACUAGGCGUGGCGGUGGAUCUUCUACUGCUGCUUCACGUUCGGCAUCUACUGAUCUUGCCAGAGCAAAUACGGUUACCUUAGCUCCCCAAUAACAACACUCGGCUAACAUGAUAACGUCAGCUGAUCGUGUAGGAUUUACUGGUCUAAAUGAUGAUCAAUGGAAGACUCUCGUCACCAUGUUAAACGAACGUAAGACACCAACCAACACACUAAGCGGUAUGUCUUCUAAUUUCUCUUGGAUUCUUGACUCAGGGGCAACGAACCACAUGACCGGUUCUAUAGCCUCUCUUACUGAUAUACGAGAUACAGUCUCAUUACCUGUGAAAUUACCUGAUGGACGAAUCACUUUUGCUACAAGAACAGGAACUGCGAUUCUGAGUUCUAUUCUUACGGUUCAGAAUGUUCUAUUUGUUGAUGGGCUUCAGUGCCAUUUGAUCUCUGUAUCACAGUUAGCUCGUCAGAAAACUUUUAUCUUUCAGAUUACUGAUAAACUUGGACUGAUUCAGGACCGCAUUACCAAGACGCUGAUUGGAGUGGCUGAGCAGUUGAAUGGAUUAUACUUCGUACGAGGGAUGGAGUUUGCUGGAGUGGUUCAUCAAGACAAGCCUGUCACGUCUGAUGUUCUUCACAAUCGCUUAGGCAUCCCUCUCAUAGAGUUUUGGAUUUUUUACCUAUUUCAGUAACUUAUGAUAGUAGUUCUCGGAAUAAGGUGUGUGAGAUUUGUACACGCGCCAAACAGACUCGUUGUUCUUUUUCUACAAGUUCUAAUAAAACUAUGGCUUUAUUUGAAAUGGUGCAUUGUGACUUAUGGGGCCCUUACCGAACUCCAUCUAGCUGUGGAGCUAGAUAUUUUCUCACCAUUAUUGAUGACUUCUCACGAAGUGUGUGGCUUUAUCUACUUCCGACCAAAACUGAUGUUACUAAGACUAUCAAAAACUUCAUAUCCAUGGCGCAGUGUCAGUUUAAUGCCAAAGUUCAGAAGAUUCGUUCAGAUAAUGGAACAGAGUUUCUGUGUAUGUCAUCUUACUUUCGAGAACAGGGUAUUCUUCAUGAGACUUCAUGUGUGGGAACACCCCAACAGAAUGGACGGGUUGAACGCAAACAUCGUCACAUCUUGAAUGUUGCUCGAGCACUUCGUUUUCAGGCUUCGUUACCUAUUGAAUUCUGGGGUGAAUGCAUUUUGACAGCAGCCUAUCUAAUUAAUCGUACUCCCACACCUCUACUCGAUGGUCAGACUCCUUUUGAAAGGCUUUAUAAACGCCCUCCACCACUUGCGCAUCUUUGCACUUUUAGAUGCUUGUGUUAUGCGCAUAACCAAAAUCACAAGGGAGAUAAGUUUGCAUCUCGCAGCAUCAAGGGUGUUUUCAUCGGAUAUCCAUACGGUAAGAAAGGUUGGCGCGUCCUCAACCCUCUAACUGGAAAGAUUUUUGCAAGUCGAGAUGUUGUUUUCUGUGAGUCUCAGUUUCCUUACUCUGUUGCGCCUCCGACUGAGUCAUCUCCUUCUUCUCCGCUGAUUACAGAAAUUGUGUUACCUGAAGAAGAAGUUACAGUGCCCCUUGCUCCUGUUUUGCCAGUGUCAUCUGAUACUGCUCUCGCCGAUCAGGAAUUACCUACUCCACUUACUGAUGAUACACAAGUUUCUUCGGACAUUGAAACUGAAACGGGUGAUGAUUCCACGCCACCACCCUCUACCGACUUACCGGAGAGCUCGACGCCUCCAACUACUGUUACUGACACAGAGAAUGCUGAGAUUGCGGACGACAAUACUAAUUCGUCACCGAAGCCUCUUACUGAAACGUCGACGACUGACAUUACUGAAACAGAGGACGUGAUACCCUCUGGCAUUGACUUGCCGACUACGGCACUUGGGAGAGGUCUCCGUACAAAGACCAUUCCAGCAAAGCUUCAUGACUAUGUUCUUCAAACUAUUUCUCCUACAGCUACAUGUCCCACCGAAGCUCCUUAUGCACUUGAAUUCUACGUUAAUUGCUCGAAAUUUUCUGAACGUCAUCACCACUUUCUUGCCGCUAUCUCCUCUUUAAAAGAGCCCACGUCUUAUCGUCAAGCUAUACUAGAUGAGAUCUGGCGUAACUCAAUUCAAGAUGAGUAUGUGGCUCUCGUUGAUAAUGGUACUUGGGACGUCGUUGAUUUACCUCCUGAUAAACAUGCUCUCGCAUGUAAAUGGGUUUUUAAAUACAAAUUUCGGGCAGAUGGGACUAUGGAACGACCAAAAUCACAGUUGGUUGUAUGUGGAAACAGUCAGAUUGAGGGAGAGGAUUACGAAGAAACUUUUGCGCCCGUCGCAAAAAUGACCACGGUUAGAACUUUUCUACAAAUCGCAGCUUCUCGUAACUGGGAGGUCCAUCAAAUGGACGUUCAUAAUGCGUUUCUUCACGGUGAUUUGAAAGAGGAAGUUUAUAUGCGUCCACCGCCAGGUUUCAAGGGUUCUGAUAAAAACAAGGUGUGUCUCUUGAAAAAGUCACUAUAUGGUUUAAAACAGGCUCCUAGAUGCUGGUUCGAGAAACUCUCCUCCUCGCUAGUAACAUAUGGUUUCGUACAGUCCCUCUCUGAUUAUUCCUUGUUCAUUAUGGAUCGUGGUAUGGAUUAUAUUCAGGUUCUUAUCUAUGUGGAUGAUCUCGUUGUUUCUGCGAGUAAAUCUUCUCUAUUGGAAUCAUUUAAGGACUAUAUGAAUCGAUGUUUUCAUAUGAAGGAUCUCGGCAUCUCCAAAUAUUUCCUCGGCUUGGAACUUGCUCGCAGUCCUCUUGGAAUCUAUCUUUGUCAAAGAAAAUAUGCUCUUGGCAUUAUCGAAGAAACCGGUCUCUUGGCCGCUAAACCAGCAGCUUUCCCGGUCGAACAGAAUCAGACAUUAGCUCUCGACAAAGGACCUGAUCUUGCUGAUGUUGCUGCUUAUCGACGACUUGUCGGACGUCUCAUUUAUCUUGCCGUCACUCGUCCUGACCUCGCUUAUUCGGUUCAUCUUCUAGCUCAAUUCAUGCAGAAGCCUAAGCUUGCUCAUUGGAAUGCUGCUUUACGAGUUGUGCGUUAUUUAAAGGGCAAUCCAGGCCAGGGUAUUCUUCUUCGUGCUCAUACCGAGCUCAAGCUCUCUGUUUGGUGUGACUCUGAUUGGUCAGGUUGCCGCAUUUCUCGUAGAUCUCUUACUGGAUGGUUUAUCACUCUUGGUGGUUCUCCUAUCUCUUGGAAAACACAGAAACAAGACUGUGUGUCACGCUCGAGCUGUGAAGCUGAAUAUCGCGCAAUGUCAUCUACCGUUCAGGAGGUUCUUUGGAUUCACAACCUUCUUCGCACGUUCGGUAUUAACUUUACUUCUCUGAUUCCAUUACAUUGUGAUAGUAAGUCUGCGAUCUACUUGGCUGCUAAUCCGGUCUUUCAUGAACGUACGAAGCAUGUCGAGAAUGAUUGUCAUUUUAUACGGGAUGAAAUAGUCAAAGGUGUUAUUGCAACCAAACACGUUUCUACUCAUUCUCAACUUGCAGACAUUUUCACUAAGCCCCUUGGACGUAAUGAAUUUGAUGAGUUUUUUCCCAAGUUGGGAGUUCUUGAUCUUCACUCUCCAACUUGAGAGGGGGGGUAUUGGAGGAUAUAUACGAAUAUGUUCAUAUAUAUUCGGAUAUAUUCAAAUAUGUUAAUAUUCUUUUAAUCUAGAUGUGUAUCUUCUGUUAUUAGGAAACAUCGUAUGUAUAUAUACUUUGGUCUAUUGACCUUCAUCAAUACAAGAAAUCCUUUAUACGAUACUAGGUUUCUUGACACAUUUAAGUGUGUUCGUUUUUGUAAUUUAUAUUGUAAAUACAACAUCUACAUUCAAUUAUUCGUUUUCCAAAUUUAUAAUAGCAUUUGUGAAUCACGUUGUUCCUUUGGAGCCAAGUGUUGUGGAGAACUGACUGAAAGACCACCUUGCGUUAAACUAUUAUAUAGUUUUUUUUUUCAAACUGGUUUAUAUUGUUUCUUAAACUAUAAAAUAUAUUUUUUGAGAAGAAUUUUACAGAUAUGAUGGGUAAAUUAUUCAAACUCUUACACAGUGUUCAUAAAUAUUUUCAUAGGUUUUUCUGUUUUAACUAUUUAUAAUUUAAAGCUAAAUUAUAUUUAAGACUAUAUAAAAAGUCACAUUCCUAUAAAAAAUUCAAGCCACACGAACCUCAGUUAGUUUUAAAGAAGCAGGCUUUUCUCCAUUACAUGUAAACCGAAAGAACGGUAGAUGUUUUUUCUUAUCUAAAUUAAAAACAGUAAAUUUAUAACACAUUGUCCACGAUAGAUUUCAUGAACAGACAACAUCUGAUUUUUCAUUUAUUUUUUAGCAUCUAACUUUGUCAUUUUAUCAUGGAAACUUUGUAAACUUUGUUUUGAUUUCUUCUCCCAAAAGGAUAAUAAAACAGAGUAGCAUGAGAUAUCCUACAAAAUUUAGCGAUCAAAUAUAAAACUUUCUUUUGCUUUCAUCUCACACACAUUAUUUUGGUGAUUGCGACGUUCUUCUCUAUAAGUUAAUCUCUAACAGUAGAUUGUUCAGCCAUCUAAUCACGCCAAGACCUUCUACAACUCAAGUAGAUCACUUAUUACAAACCAUAAAAGUAUAAUUUAAAUUGAAGGCCUAGAUAUUUUUUGUGUGUGCAAUCUUUCCAAAAGGGAAUAGAAAAAAAAACGUGGAAGCAGAAAAUUUUGAAAGCUUGUAAAUAUUCUUGAAUAAUUUUUAGUAUUUUCUAUAGAUGGCAAAAAUAGAAACAACAUUCUGUAGAAAACCCUAGAAACAAAAGAUGUCAUGUGAGAAAGAAACACAUGAACUUGUCAGUGAUAUGUUCUUGAAACUUGUAUUUUAAGCAAAUCCCAAAUCUGCUAGUUCAGAACUAGAGGGCAAACGUGGGAUGGGUCGCUCGAUAGGGCCAAACGGAUUGAAAGGUCUUCCGAUAGGAUCAAAGGGCUUGCGGGGGAUUAUGUAAGCAGAUCCUUCAAUAGUAUUAACAAUUUGAUCUUCUUGACUGUUGUUUCCUUGAGGACCAUACCAUAUCUCGCACUGCUUGAAGUUCUUACUCAAUGCCUCGAAUCCUCCAUCAGUCUAGUAAAGAAAAACAAGUAAAAUUGGUUUUGCGUGGUGCGUAAGGUAUACAAAAACAAACAACUACAAUGUUUUUUUAAAUACCUGCUGAGGCGGAAAAGUGGAAGAUAAACUUUGAAUUUGUUCACCACAAGGGAUAGAUUGGUAAACAUGGUUAGACUCUGUCGUGGCUUGUGGUUUGUUCAGCUCUUCGUUGGCUUCUCUUGCUAUAUUAUCGGGUUCGUAUAGGUUAAACCAGCUGAAUAGUAUUUUCUGCAAAAAACAAUUGUAUAUAAAAAAAACAGAGAGGGAAGCAUCAAUUAUGAUGAAAUUGAUACGUACUAACAAACAGACAUACCUUAAGUUUAGUUAUGUUGAAAACAACGCAACUGUAAAAGUCAUCAGAAAGCUAAAUCUGAAAUCCUUUAUCAUUCAUUCCAUCUGUAAUAUUCAACCGAAAGAGAAAGAUUAGGUUUAUAGAAAUUUGUAAAUUCUAUUCUACUUGAAAAUUCAAGGAAACUUGUAAAGCAAGAAAAAAACAAAAAAAAGGAAAAUUCACAAACGAGGUAAACUAGGGACCAUGUAGGUUUUGAAUAGAAUCCAUACCGUUUUGAAGACCUUGUGUUGAUGAAUCGUUGGAUUUCAGAUGAUCGACUGGAUUUUGAGGUUGCGGAGGAGGUAUGAUGAUGAUGAUGACGACGACUGUGUCAAGUGCGAACUCUCAGUCUCCGUUGUCAUUCGGACGAGAGAAAACUUUGGAAAGAAAUUAAGAGACUUUCUUAGUUUGAUUAUUUAGGGUUUUUGCUCAAUAUCCUCUACUUCUCUUGUUUGCUAUAUUGUCAAUGUUGCUAAAGUUUUCGUUCUAAGCUGGUAUUUAUAUAGUAAAAAUAGACCAAACCUUGUUCUUGUUGGUUCAGGAAAAAAAAUCAGUCAACCCGACGUUGGGCCUUGGAUAAGCAUCAUCGAAAGGAUUUUAUAUGAUAUGUUUGUCCGUCGACAAAAAAAAGAAAGAUUAUGUGUCCAUAUAUCUAUUUGUUUGUAGGAAUUCUCGUCUAACCACACAUUUCUCCUUAACAGUAUAGCCUAAGAUGACAACAUUGUUGUUGGUUUAUACGAUAUGAAUAUACUCUUACAUCAAUCGUUGGCUAUAAAAUAAUAAAUGAUGAUAAAUGUAAAUAUUCUAUUAUCUAAAUAAAAUGUAAAUAAUCUAUUUUCUAAAUUGAAAAUACAAAAUAAACAAAAAUUUAAACAAUAUGAUAAAUGUUAAGCCAUUACAUGGAUGUUGUUCCUACAUUUAUUUAAUUUUUAGACCUAUUCUCACGUACAUUAUUUUAGUAACUGCAACUUUGUUCUCUAAGUUAAUCUCUAACAGUAGAUUGUUCAGCCUACUAAUCACGCCCAGCCUUCUACAGCGCAAGUAGAUCACUUAUUACAAACCAUAAAAGUAUAAUUUAAAUUGAAGGGCUUGAUUUUUUUUUUGUGCGCAACCUUUCCAAAAGUGAAUAGAAAAAAAAACGUUUAAGUAGAAACUCUUAAAAGCUUGUAAAUAUUCUUGAAUAAUUUUUAGUAUUUAAUUUUCUAUAGAUAAAAAUAGAAACAACAUUCUGUAGAAACUUGGGCCUUGGAUAAGCAUCAUCGAAAGGAUUUUAUAUGAUAUGUUUGUCCGUCGACAAAAAAAAGAAAGAUUAUGUGUCCAUAUAUCUAUUUGUUUGUAGGAAUUCUCGUCUAACCACACAUUUCUCCUUAACAGUAUAGCCUAAGAUGACAACAUUGUUGUUGGUUUAUACGAUAUGAAUAUACUCUUACAUCAAUCGUUGGCUAUAAAAUAAUAAAUGAUGAUAAAUGUAAAUAUUCUAUUAUCUAAAUAAAAUGUAAAUAAUCUAUUUUCUAAAUUGAAAAUACAAAAUAAACAAAAAUUUAAACAAUAUGAUAAAUGUUAAGCCAUUACAUGGAUGUUGUUCCUACAUUUAUUUAAUUUUUAGACCUAUUCUCACGUACAUUAUUUUAGUAACUGCAACUUUGUUCUCUAAGUUAAUCUCUAACAGUAGAUUGUUCAGCCUACUAAUCACGCCCAGCCUUCUACAGCGCAAGUAGAUCACUUAUUACAAACCAUAAAAGUAUAAUUUAAAUUGAAGGGCUUGAUUUUUUUUUUGUGCGCAACCAUUCCAAAAGUGAAUAGAAAAAAAAACGUUUAAGUAGAAACUCUUAAAAGCUUGUAAAUAUUCUUGAAUAAUUUUUAGUAUUUAAUUUUCUAUAGAUAAAAAUAGAAACAACAUUCUGUAGAAACCCCUAGAAACAAAAGAUAAGGUCAUGAGAGAAAGAAAACACAUGAACUUCUCAGUGAUACGUUCUUGAAACUUGUAUUUUACGCGAAUCCCAAAUAUGCUAGUUCAGAACUAGAGGGCAAACGUGGGAUGGGUCGCUCGAUAGGGCCAAACGGAUUGAAAGGUCUUCCGAUAGGGUCAAGGGGCUUGCGGGGGAUCGUGUAAGCAGAUCCUUCAAUAGUAUUAACAAUUUGAUCUUCUUGAUUGUUGUUUCCUUGAGGACCAUUCCAUAUCUCGCACUGCUUGAAGUUCUUACUCAAUGCCUCGAAUCCUCCAUCAGUCUAAUAAAAAAAAAGACAAGUAAAAUUGGUUUUGCGUGGUGCGUAAGGUAUACAGAACAAACAACUACGAUACUUUUUUUAAACGUAAAGUGACAUUAUGUUAUUAAGAGAGAAAGAUGAUAUAUAUUACCUGUCGAGGUGGAAAAGCGGAAGAUAAACUUUGAGUACCAAACACCAGCUCGGAGGCAACGUCUUUUUGAAUGUGUUCACCAGAAGGGAUAGAUUGGUAAACAUGGCUAGACUCUGCAAUAGCUUGUGGUUUGCUGAGCUCUUCGUUGGCUUCUCUUGCUAUAUUGUCGGGCUCGUGUGGGUUGAAGCAGCUAAGUAGUAUAUUCUGCAAAAGUCAAUGGUCCACAUAAAAAUAGAGACCGAGAAGUAUUAAUUAUGAUGAAACUGAUACGUAUUAACAAAUAGGCAUACCUUAAGUUGAGUUAUGUUGAAAACAAUGCAACUGUAAAAGUCAUCAGAAGGCAGAAUCUGCAAUCCUUUAUUAUUCAUUCCAUCUGUACGUAACAUUCAACCAAAAAAAAGAUUAGGUUUAUAGAAAUUUGUAUUUCUAUUUUACUUGAAAAUCUAAGGAAACUUGUAAAGCAAGAAAGUAAGAAAAAAGGAAAAAUCACAAGCAUGGUAAAUUAUGGAUCGUGGAGGUUUGAAUGGAAUCCAUACCGUUUUGAAGACCUUGUGUUGAUGAAUCGUUGCAUCUCAGAUGAUCGACUGGAUUUUGAGGUUGUGGAGGUAAAGAUGAUGAUGACUGUGUCAAGUGCGAACUCUCAGUCUCCGUUGUCAUUCCGAUGAAAGAAAACUUUGGAAAGAAAGAGAGUUUCUUAGUUUGAUUAUUUAGGGUUUUUGCUCUCUCUUGUUUGCUAUAUAUAUAUUUUUUUUUUUGUAACACAGAUUUUUCAUUCAUUCAUACUUAGGCUCCAAUGUCAAAGGAGGUCAUUACAAAAGGUUCAUUCAACAAGGCUUGCUUAGCCAAGGCAUCUGCCUCCUUGUUGUUUUCCCGUUGAAUCCAAGAGAAAUAAACAGACUCAAAAGCAAGAGAGAGACUGAGGAUAUCAGCAACCACACCAUACACCUCAGGGUAUGAGGAGCUAGAGUUUAUCGCAUUGAUAAGUUGUAGCGAAUCAGACUUGAAAUGCACUCGGCGGAGUCCCGUAUCGAUGCAUGUUGCCAGUGCUUCCCUUAGUGCUAGCGCUUCUGCCACCAGUGCUGAGUUGACGAAGAAGCAAUGCGCCAUGUACGAGCGGCUGUUGAUUCCAGUGUCGAUGAUCCAUCCAAGCCCUGCAAGAAACCGUUCUGAGUGCCAAGCCGCAUCUGAAUGUAUAACAAUGCAAUCCAGUGGGUGAAAAUGCGGUGGUUUCGCUGGUACUCGCAGAGCAGGGGCCACCGUUGUUUGCGCCGCUAACCAUUCCCUUGCUGCCGAGAGGGCUUUGGUCAUGGUUUCCUCUGGUGAAAUUGCUUUGUUAUUGAAAAGGAGGUUAUUUCUUGCUAACCAGAUGGACCAUAGGAUCCACGGCGCUAGCGGUCCCGAGCCAACACCCGUGGGCGGAAGACAGGUCAGUUUGGUUAGAGUAGGCCAACAAGAUGCAAAAUCUACCAGUCCUCUAGAGUCCAGGCAGUGAGUAUAAGGGGCUAGAGACCAGACCUUUUGGGCAUACUCACAGUGGAAGAGAAGAUGACUGAUAGAUUCUACGAUAUCGCAACGCUUACAUGGUGUAGCGGUUCCAAUGUUCCUAGCUGCCAACUGGGCUCCGACAGGGAUUGCUUGGUUCAUGAUCUUCCAUAGGAACAGUUUGAUCUUUGGGGCCGUGUGGAGGUUCCAGAUGUUUUUAUUCCAUUCGAAAGGUUCCUGAUGGAUAGUCUGCUCUGUUACGGCAUGAACGUCCCGACGUGCUUUCAAUGCUGUCCAGUAACCUGAUUUGGUGCUGUAUUCGCCUGUAGAUGUUCCAAGCCAUACCAGUUUGUCCGGAGCCCCAGUGGUACUUGGCUUGAUCAUGAGAAUUUUCUCUUCUUCAAAUGGUAUUAUGCUGUUGAUUGCGUCCCUGUUCCAUUCGGUCUUGUGAGGCAAGAAAAGGCUCUCAACUUUCAGGUUUUGCUGCGCCUCCGGGGUCGGUCCCAUUGGUCUUUCUUGUACCUUACAGUUGAGCCAAGGAUCAUUCCAGAUGUCGAUUGUCUUGCCAUCUCCCACUACCCAUCCUGCAUUGCUCAUGAUGAGGUCCCGUCCUAUGAGUAUACUUCUCCAGCCAUGGGAUUGCACUGAUCGGCUCUGAGCUUGGAUGAACGAAGUGUCUUCAAAAUAUUUCCCUUUUAGGAUCCGGCUGAGCAGGCACGCUGGAUUAUUAAGGAGCCUCCAGCCUAGCUUAGCUAAGAAAGCGUCGUUGUAGCUUUGGACGUCUCGAAGGCCCAGGCCUCCUGCUCCCUUGGAUCGAGUCAUCUUGUCCCACGAAAUCCAGGCCAUUUUGCGGGUUUCACUGCUUCCAUCCCACCAAAAUCUAGUCAGUGCUGACUGAAUUCUAUCGCACAGCGAGACAGGAAGCUUGAAACAGCUCAUCGCGUGAGACGGAAUAGGAGAUAGCACACUUUUGAGCAUAACCUGUCUUCCAGCUGUUGAGAGGUGCUUGUUUGACCAGCUGCUUGCCUUUACCUUUAUCUUAUCCACAAUAGCCGAGAACAGAUCUUUUUUCUUCUUCCCGAAGAGCUCGGGUAGGCCUAGAUAUUUACCCAUACCUCCCUCCUUUUGGAUUCCAAGAGCGUCACGGAUACAGGUCUUGAGAGAGCUCGGGGUCUUCUUUGCGAAAGUGAUGGAGGAUUUCUCCGGAUUGAUAGUUUGGCCCGAGGCGGCUUCGUAGCUCUGGAGGAUUCCCUUUAGGGCCGUGGCAUCCUCUUUCUUGGCUUUGAUGAAAAACAUCGUAUCGUCGGCGAACUGUAAAUGGUUAACCCGUGGACACCCAUGGGCAACCUGGAUACCAGCUAGUGAUCCUGAUUCUUGAGCUCUGUUACACAGUCCCGAGAGGACCUCACUACACAAAAUAAAUAAGUAUGGUGAGAGUGGGUCUACUUGGCGGAUUCCCCUACUCGGUUUCACUUUUCCUCUAGGCGAGCCGUUGAUGAGGAAAGCGUAGGUAACAGUGGUGACACAUUCCAUGAUCCACGUUAUACAACGGGGGUGGAAUCCGAGUCUAUCAAGAACUAGGUGAAUGAAUUCCCACUCGAGCCGAUCAUAGGCCUUGCUCAUGUCCGUCUUUACUGCCAUGGAGCACCGUUUCUCUGCUUUAGAGGUCUGGAGGAAAUGGAGCACUUCGUGGGUGAUUAGGACAUUAUCCGAGAUUGCUCUCCCCGGCACAAAUGCGGAUUGGUUUUCGGAUAUGAUAGAGGAGAGGAGUGGCUGGAUGCGCUUGGUCAAAAUCUUUGAGAUGAUUUUGUAAUACACAUUACAUAGCGCUAUCGGUCUAUACUCCGCCACUGUCCGAGGGCUUUUGAUCUUCGGAAUGAGACGGACGAGAGUUUCGUUGCUUUUUGGGGGCAGUUUCCCGGUUUCAAAAAAACUUUGGAUCUCUAAUAUAAUGUCAAUACCAAUGGAUUCCCAAUUGGAGUGGAAGAAUCCGGCGGAGAAACCAUCCGGGCCUGGUGCUUUGUCCGCGUGAAUAGAGAAAACUGCCUUUUUUAUUUCCGCAGCCGAAGGGAUUGAACUGAGGAUGUCGUUCUCUUCUUGAGUGAUUACAGGCAAUAGAGCUCUCUCCACUAUUUCCUCGCGGUCUCCCGGUGAGCUUGUGAAUAAAUUUUGGAAGUAUUGGAUCACCACCUCUGAUAUUUUCUCUUCCGUAUAGACAGGUGUGCCAUCGGGAUCUUCUAAAACGGAGAAGUCAUUUGCUCUUUUCCUCUUCUUCGUUGUAGCAUGGAAGAAACCGGAGUUUCGGUCUCCUAGUUUCAGCCAUAGUAGUCGGCUCCUUUGUCUCCAGUAAGCUUCUUCCGCUUUGUAUGCUGCUUUCAAGUCCUCCGAUAUCUUGUUGAUCAGGCUUACAUCAUUCACUGAACUUGUCUGUGCUUCCUCGAGAUCUUCUCUCUUCUGCUCUAUAAGGAUUCGGCUAUUGGUCUGUUUGGUCUUAUUCCAUCUGGAAAUUGCUCCGCGUACCAAACCUAUCCUCUCCGCUACGGUUUUAUUUCUUGCUGAGUGCCAGGUAGCUCUGAUCAGUUCUGUGGCUUCAGGGUUGUCUUUUAACCUCCUGUCGUAUCUGAAGAGACCACGACGUCUUUUCCUUGCCGGCUCAAAGAUUGACAAGAGUGGUUUGUGGUCCGAACUCUCAUAGGGGAGGUAAACACAUCUAGCCGUCGGAAAUCUCUCAGCCCAGCUAGUGUUCGCCGCUGCUCGGUCCAAUCUGCAUCUAACAUAAUGUACUCCCCGCUGGCCCUUCCAAGACAAACAAUCCCCUGUGUGUUGCAGAUCAAAAAGAUCUCCUUCUGCUAGGAAGGUUCUCAUGUCAGAGAACGAUCCUUCUGGGCGUUCUGGACCUCCAUCCUUUUCUUCAUUGCUGACUAGAUCAUUGAAAUCUCCGGUAAUGAACCAAGGUGAGUCUCGGAGAUCCGCUGUGAGUACUAGGUGAUCCCAUAAUUGUUUCUGGCGGUUUCUGUCUGUGUCUCCAUAAACAAAGGAGGCAAAAAAUUUCUUGCCUUCGUACUCUAUGGUCGUGUCCAGUAGGUUGGCAUUGGCCUCAAGAACUUCGAGUUGUAUUUCCUGUUUCCAGAGGAGUGCUAGUCCACCUGCGCCAUGUCCUACUGGUGGAAAGAGAUCAUAGAACUCAUAUCCGAGAUGAUCGAGUUUGUCCAGGACGAACUCAUUGGGAUUUUUUGUCUCCAUGAGAAAUAUAAUAUCCGGGUCUGUGCUCUUCUUCAGUUCAUGGAGUCGUUGAACUGUCCAGGGAUUCCCCAACCCUUGACAGUUCCAGCUCAAUAUCUUUAAGGAACGGGAGUUAACGGAUUCUGAAAAUCCGUUUUCUUCCUCUUCAUUGUUGCCGGGAUCAUCUUGCAGAGUGGUUGAUCUGAAUCCAGAGAUGAUCCUUGCUGACCUCCCUUUGUUUUGGAGCUUCCUGCCCUGUUCUUGGCUCCUUUGACUGGGGGAUCUUGUUCCUGCGUCGUCGAUAAUUUCCUUCUACAAGAAGGAGGUUUUGUUUGUAGUACCUUGCGUUUUCGGGAAUUUGCUCCAGCAAGUGUGUUGGGGCUACUCUGUGAUUUUCUGCUUCCUGGUGGUCUCCCAGGCUUUCUUCGAGUAGUUGCCUUAGCUUGUUGUUGAGCGUCCUGUUGGUUCUGGUCUUCAGGAGGUGAUGUCGUUGGUCCCAGUCGUAGUAACGCAGGGAUUCUCGCCGGGCUGCUUUGUGCUUCUGUUCCUUCGGUCUGUGUUGGCUGUGUGGCUAGGGAAGCCCUCACCAUUUGGACCGCUGUUUCUUCGACUUGUCCUUGUUCCUCUGCUUGCCUGAAGCGUUCUUUCCUAGCUGCGCUUUCUGUUGGGUCCGCACAUGAUGUGUAUUGUAUCAUAACAUCACGUAUUUCCCCAAUAGCUUCCUCCACUGCUUCUCUAGGUAGGUCCACCUGCGUACUCCGGAGAGGAAUCCCUCAAUCCGAGUGUCUAGGUGCCUCCUUUGAGUUACUUGACUCAUCUCGGGACCCCCCUCUUUCCGCCCGUUGGUUUGAUAUGUUCUUCGCCUGAUUAUACUCCUUGGUGGGUGAAUUUGAUCUGGGUCUGCCUUGUUUGCUUACUUCUCUAUACACCGAGGUGUGGGAAGUUCUUGCUCUCGAGGAGUCUCGCGAGUUUGACUGGUGACAAUCGUGAUACUGUUGUCUGUACCAGUGAGUUUGUUUCUCUUCAGGACGGUGGCGUUCAACCUGGUUCUGGUAUCUUGGAGAUUGUGUGUUCCAGUCUUUGUGGCUAUCACGACCAACUCCAUAGUGCCGGGCAUUCUUCAGGUUGGUACGCCUGUCUAUUCCAGUGGUCGGACGAGAAACAUGAUGAUCUUCUCUCUCCCGACGUCGUGGAGGACUGUCUGUCCGGAAGUGGGUCUCCUCCUGUCUUUCCAUUUCCUUAAGUCGCUCUUUCUUUUCUGCUUUUGCUUGAAGGCAGUCUCGCAGCUCAUGAUCGAGUCUGAAGCAUUUUGAGCAGUGUCUUUCCAAAUUUUCAUAUACUAGCUUUGCUACCACUUCAUCUCCAUUGGGAUACUCGAUGAUGGAGCUAGUUAUGAGGGGAAGACGGCCAUUUAUAUGGACUCUCAUGCGGAAGUUGAGGGAGGAAAUUUCCGCAUCUUCGUACACUCCGAUAUUUUUUCCCACUGUUUGGAUUGUCUCCUCAGUCCAUAGGUGUACUGGAACUCCUUGUACUUUGAUCCAAAAAGGAAUGAGUGAGGGAAAAUCCGGGGCUGUGGUAGGUUCCCAUCUCUGGACAAUGACCAUCCAUCUUGCAUAGUUGUAUGGUCGCUUCUCCAGAACCUUGAGGAGGUCUUCUUCUCUCUCGAAUUGAAAUUGAAACAUUCCUUGUCCCAGGUCCGAGCCGACGGGACGUGACUCCGUGCUCCAUUUCUCCGUGAAGAAUGGCAAGAGGUUUUGGACUUUUUGGGAGCUAGGGUUGGUAACUCGACCUAUUAGGGUGAGGGAAUGUUUCUGCAGUAGGUAUUCAUUCUUGGGGUCUUGAACUUUUACUCUAUCUUUUCUUGGCGGUUGGUAGGUUACCUGAGCAAUACUUUUUCCUUUUGCUGUUGCAGAGAAUCUUUUGUUUUCCAUUUUGUCUUCGGAGCUUUGAAUGCUGUUUGUUGAGGUAGUACAAAUCUGUUUGUCUUGUUGCCUUAAAGACUCCUGAGGCUUGGUGGUUGUACAAUCGUACUUCAGUAGUUUAGAGAGCUGGAGAUUCUAAACCAGAGCUUUAAACGACAUUAAUUUCUUGACCAGAGCUUUUAUGUGGUUUGUUGACCGGGUUGCAGAUCUUCUGUUGUGUGGUCUUCAUUAAGCUUGUGAGACGGAAUCCCGCUCACACAAGCAGUGGGUGGUAGUGGCUGCCAUUCCGACCUGCGUCGGUGGCUAGAACCCGGUGUCGCAGUCUUCAAGCGGUAUUCCAGAAGUGGUUUUUUGCCAAAAAUAGUAGUAAACCGGCUUGUUGUGGAAACUGGGGGCUGGAAACCUGGUUGGUUGAAACUGUCUCGGGAAAGUCGCCUGGGAGGAAAGUCAGCUCUUUUUACUUCAUCAUUUUUUGCUAUAUAUAUAUAUACUAUUUCUUUUACAACGAAAGACUAUUCUAUUACUCAAUCUUGAAGUCGUCUAGAUAUAUACUAUUAUUUAACAAGUAAAUUUGUUUAAUUGUCUUAUUCUCCAUGCUUUUAGGAUAAAUUAUUAGUUUAAUUAAUUUUAUUAUUUAAGAUUUUAUUUUAAUAUAAAUUGAUUGUUAAUUAUUUAGUAUUAUUAUUUAUCAAAUUACUUACGGUGUGCUGUUUAUCUUAUAGACAAAAUUAACAGAAAAUAUCCCACAGUUUUAAGUUAUUUACUAGAAAAAUAGAUUUAAAAAGGGAUGUUUGGAAAAAAUACUCUAUUUAUGUUUUCGGAUUUGAAAACUACAUUGAUUUAAUUUUUUUUUGAAAAUACACUUGUCCAGUAUGUAAAAAGACAUUUUGAUCAAGUCUAAGUUAAAUAUUUAUGCUAUAAUAAUUUAAAAUUUUAAACUGAAAAUUAUUGAGAUUAACAUAUAUUGAUGAUUUAUGUUUGUUUACAUCUCUUAAUAUAUUUCAAUGUUUGUCUUUUUAUGAAAAUUAUAAACUUUAGAUAAAAAUAAAAAUUACUUAACAUAGUCAUCACUUUCUCAAACAUAUAAUAUAAGAUUUUGCAUGUUGAAACUCAUCAUCUCACCAAACUUAUAACUAUGAAAAUUUUCUCUUUCCAUUGCAUGAUUAUAGAGGAUUACAAACACUAAUCCGAGUGGAUGUUACAGAUAAAAUAGAGUCUUGUGUACGUGGCAGUAGCAGAUAGGAUGAAGAUAAUGAUUGGUAAAACAGCCAUGUGUCUGUGUGAUUGGAAGAAGAAGUUUGUUAGGGUAUAACUUCUUCAUUCAUCAAGAAAAAUAUUGACAGUGUUAGAUCAUCUUCUUCCUCUAGAUUCUGUGUAUGUUUUUUUCCAUUGAAAUUGCUUGGAGAUUUGUUCAUGUUGUUUCAGAAUCUUUCUUCUGUAAUAGAUUCUUUAUACUUGAGCUACGUUUCAUUGUUUUAUGAACGGUGAAUCAAUUAUCGUAGAGGUGAACUCGUUUAUCUCUAUCAGUGGUAUCAGAGUCAUUCGUGUCCUUAGAUCAGUAGCAGGCUGUUUGAACCGAGUUUGGUCAGAAAUAAGUGAGAGAGACGAAACUCGUCAGUAGAUUAAUAUCGAAGGCAUUUUAUUGGAAAGGUGUUUGUCGGUUACAUAUAAGGAAACGAACGGUGAAACAGCCGGUGCUCAAGGAGCUUGCCGGGAAAGUAUAAGUCGACGAGAAUAUGGAUGUUGUUCCUACAAAUAUUGUCUGCAUUUGGUUAAUCUUGGACCUAUAUGGAAUAUUUUUUUCAUCUAUUUAAUUCAUUCAUAAAAGUUUCAUAUGCUAGUAGAGUGAAAUCAAAUUCCACAGAAAUGUAUUACUCCCUAAUCAGGAGGAUUAUAUUCACUUUAGAGGUAAAGAACUUUCAUGUCAUCUUUGUUAGAUUUUAAAAUUUUCAGCACUAACUAUCACUCAAUGUCAUUUCCAACGUGAUCUUAUAGAAUGCUUUCUUGCAGAUCGCUUUAUCUAGCUCUCGCUUAGUCUGAGUUUUGUUAGGAGGGAAGGGUGGUAGAGUCCUAUACACGCUUUAUCUUUCUAUAGCGGGUUCAACAGGAGUCGAGAGUCGAUCGACAUUGUUUCCAGAGUGUCGACCGAUAUUCACCGUGGUUUGUCGAUCGACGUUCGUUCUUUCUUGUCGAUCAAUUUUGACAUCUUCUCCAAAUUCUCCUUCUUCCUCCUCAAGGUCGAUGGCCUCUUUCUCAGUUCUCGAGGUAUUUCUGACUCGGUGUUGGGAUCAUCGAGGAUUAUAGGGCGUGACCUAUUUUCAUCGGCUUCCUCAACUACAACAUGUUUCUCUGUGUUGUUGAUUUCUAUUGUGCUUGGAAUGAGGCAUUUUCCGCUUCUCAAUAACACGACAUUAACUUGACAUUUCAGGUUCGCGUCAGUGCGCCCAGGGAGACGUCAUGUCUCUCUUUUGAUGGCGGUUUCAUUUUCCGCGACCCGACUGUCCAGUCUCUUAAUGUGUUCACUCAAAGUGUCAAACUUCCGCAUCAGCUCACUAAAGAUUAAGUCUUAUCUUUCCGUUCAGGUCAGUGGCCAAUUUGCGAUUUCCCGUGAAAGCUUGGUUUAGCCUAAAUUUCGCUCUGCCUCGGCGUGUUCAAACAGUAGCAUCAUAAUUUUGGGUAAAGCUAUCGGGGUUAGGAUACUUAUUUUCCAAGGUUUGCCUAUCUACGAAAUCUAUUUGCUGUUCUAGCUCAGAUAGGGUAUCAUCAUCAAUUUGGUAAAUUCCAAAUUGGUUCUGUCUUUCAAAAGCAGGAUGGGGUGAGUCUAGAUGUUCUUUAAUUUCGAGUAAAGGUGACUCAUCAACUGAGUCAACUUUCCUUCCUAACUCUACGUCCAUCAUUUCGUAGGAUCUUCCUGUAGCUAUAUUCUUGGUCAAACGCUUCGCUUCUUCAGGGUUUUUGGUACUGAAGUUCCCUUCACUGGCUAUGUCGAGCGUAAUUUGGUAAUGAAGCUUAAUACCUCCAUAAAGGUAUUAAUGAGUUGUGGCUCUGAAUAGCCAUGGUGGGGGCAUUCAAGUUGGUAGCUCUUGAAUCUCUCCCAUGCGUUUCUGAACGAUUCCUGUGGACCUUGACAGAAUGUGGAGAUUUUCUUCCUUACAUCCUAGGAGUGCGCCUCAUCGAAGAAUUGAUUGAUAAAGGCACUCCUUAUCUCCUUUCAACAGGUCAAAGAUCUUGUUGGUAUUUGGUCUAGCCAUUUUCUGGCGUCGCCUUCUAAGGAAAAUGGAAAGAGUUUACAUCGAUUGUAUUCAUCAUCCAUCAACUCUUCUAGAUACUUGGUGUGAUCGUGCAGUCGCUAUGAGAUGGUCCCAUGGAAAGGGUUUUGACGUACCAUAAUUAAGUAUUCGGGACUGAUCCCGGAUUUCUUGGUAUCAUCUUUUGGUAGUCUAAUUGCGGACCUAUUGGAAUAGGUUCUUCCAGGGUUUAAGUUGUCUUGCAAAGGCAAUUUCCACUCAUUAUCUCUUUCUGAGAGAUUUAAUUUGAAGAGGGAUUUCAGUCCCCUGUUCAUUCAUGAUUUGGUUGUUUGCGUUGCUUAGUUGACUUUCAGGUUCUCCUAGGACUACUCCCUCAUUAGCAUCAUUGGUAAGAGAAAACUUACCUGCUUCCGGCGGGGUGUUGUCGAUCGAUGUUUGAUGUUCGACUUCGACCGAUAUUGCUGCCGACUUGUCGCUCGAUAUUGCUCUCACUUUGUCGAUCGAUGUCCGGCCGAAAUCCAUGUUUUCCAUCUUGAAGCUCCUGUGUCAGCAAGAAAAGAGAGAAAUUUUUUAGCAAAUUUAGCAACAAAAUCUAUAUUAAAUUCUAAACGUAAUCUAAUGGUAAUAAGAAAGAGUCCCCGGCAACGGCGCCAAAUUUGAUAUCACUCAAAUUAUCCUAAGAACUCAAGUAAGAGGUUCAGAUGUAGUACUUAGGGAUCGAAUCCACAUAGACUCUAGUAUUACACAAUAGAUUAUGGUCUUUAAAUAAAUCUAGAUUGAAUGGUUUAUAAGUUUUAAAAGCAGUAAAUGGAUUGGUGAGCAAAUUUAUUGCUCGAUUGAUUGUUUUGAGGUUGUUAACAGUUGGUUGAAGUAGCUAGAUUCAGGUAUAUUCUCAGGUAUGAUAAGUAAAACUUAACUUGGGAAAUUAGGGGUUUAUUAAUUGUUCUUGAAUUCAAAUUAAGAUAUAAUCUAUUUGAUCAUCUAAUCUGGUUCUCGGAUCUCAACUCUCGUAUGUUAAUCACGAGAAAGUGUCGAUCGAUAAUUGUUUGUGAAUAUCGAUCGAUACAUCUUUCAAAAUAUCGAUCGACAGGGCUAUCGCUGCGUCGACGAUAUUUCUUCCAGAAAGCUUUACGGACAAAUUUCAUUUAUAUUCUCUAACUUAAUAGACCAACUCUCGUUUGUAUCUAGUCAGUUAGAUCAUUCUAGUUAUUUUCAGGCACUGAGUCAAGCAACGGCUUGAUCCCAAUUAAUCCUAAGAUCUAAGUUUAAAGGAUGAUCAAUCCUAAACUUAGCUUUAAGCACAACUAGAUGAAGGAACUAUAUUUCUAAACACCCUAGCAAUUGUUAUGUCAGUAUUACAUUUAUCAACCUAUUUGAGAAACCUAAAUCUAACAGUAAGGACUACUCAGACAUAUUCAUGAAACACAUAGUUAUGAUGGUCUGAAUAAUACUUAGAUAAAAUAAAUAGUAAAAGUAACAUAAAUAAUGAAAACAAGGGAGUUCAAGAUCUUCUCUGUUUUGCAGUAGAUGAUCUAUCUCUCCAAUCCUAAGCCCUCCUCUUUCAAUGGUGGCUUCUUGCCUCCUCCAAAUAAGGUCUAAAAAUGUCUCUAGGCAAGUCUGCCUCUAAAAUGAUACAAAACCCUAAUAAAUAGCCUAAUAAGCGGUCAGGGACUAAUGAUGUAAUUAUUAAGAUUUUUGUGAAACUUGAAAUCUUCUAAUUUGUCAUUAAUUCUUGGAUAGCUUCAUAAUCGAUCGAUGUGAGGAACCCAACAUUGAUCGAUAUUUGGUGGUAACUGUCUGUCGAUACUGAAUUGCGACCGUCGACCAUCUCUUGCUUCCAAGCAAAGCUCAAAAAAUCUUCAAAAAGCUCCAAAUACAUCAUUUUCUUCCAGAUAGUACAUGAACCUGUAAUUGCUCUAAAUAGACUCUAUAUAGUAAUAAUAUAUCUUAAAACAUUCAUAAACCAUGGUUAAAAAUGGGUAAAAUUCAUGGUCUAUCAGUAUCAUUGCUUCUCUGAUGCAUUACUCUCUAGAAUCACUAAAGGGUUUUGUUGAUCAAAUUGUCAGGAGCAAAGGGAGAUCGUUGAAGCCAUUGUAACUCUUUUGCUGAGUGACGAGAGAGGAUCAAUCAUCCCUCUCCGUUUCCUCCUUGGAAUGUUAAAGAUCAGAAUUACAAUCGAUGUAGAGAUCUCUUACAUGCAUGAGUUAUAACGUAGAACUAGACUUUGACCCGCGCGUCUGCGCGGGUAUAUUUUUCAAAAGUAUGUUUCUAUUUGUUUUUCAUGUCAAUAAUAUAAGGGUUAUGCAAAAUACCCGAAUCUGAAGAACCGAACCGAUCUGGAUCCGAAAAUGUAGUACCAAACCCAAACCGAAAUUGAGUAAAUAUCUGACUUAUUCAAAAUUUUGGUUUUUAGAGAACCAAAACUGAAUCCGAUCCGAACCGAAGUAUUUCGGGUACCCGAAUGUAUACGAAAUAGAUUUAUAUACUUAUAUAUAUAUAUUAAUUAUUUUUAGAUUUAAUAUAUAUAUAACAUCUAGAAUAUAUAUGAUACUUUUAAGUUGGUUUAAAUACUUAAAAAUAUAUACAAAUAAUCAAUAGUAAAUAUAUAAAAUAGUAAAAUUAUACUUAAAACACCAAAAAUACUUAAAAUAAUUAUUGAUUCUCUAUCCAAAUAUUUGAACUAAAGUAAUUUAUAUGUUACCUUUAGGUAUUCUGAAAUUACGCAAAUUAAUUUAUAUGUUACCUUUCGGUCACUCAAACAGACCUGAACCGAACCCGAUUAUGUACCAGAUAGAUAAUUUCUCACAAUAAAAUGGACUUCCAAAUUUUCUUAAAAGUAUAAGCCCAUUACUUUUUUUUUCUUAAUAUACUGCUAUCCAUGUUUCCAAACAAACCUAUUUUUUAAAACUACAAUUUAUGUUUCCAAUCAAACCUCAUUUUUAAAACUGCAAUCCAUAUUUCCAUACAAACUUUUUUUUAAACUACAAUCUAUCUUUCCAAACAAACUAUACAUGUUUCCAAACAAACCUAAUUUGUACUUGAGUUUUAAUAAGAUAGAUAGGUCAGCAGUUAGAGAGCGUGAGACUUCAUGAUCUGCCUAUACCUUCUGUAGGAAGGGAAGAGUCCAUGUACGAUGUGGAUACUGUCUAUAGGAUACCCACACGCUUACUUGAGAGGGUUGAUGAAAAAGAUGAAGACAAUGGUUAUGAUACAGACUUCACUGGUCAUCACCAUGGUUCGUUGCUGAAAGUGGGAAGGAUCAGGAAUGCGUACUUGGCUGAGAUUGCACGGGAUCCAUACCUAAGUCUACAGAAGUUCACAGCCAUUAUAGAGAGGUUACCUAAUUACGCACGUAUGUAAUAACUUUAAAAUAUAACUAUACACAUGUUUAUUAUUUCAAUCCAAGUUUUAUAUGUGUUUAUUUGAAAUGAUGGCUUGAGGUUAUUUUUUAUGAGUGUUUGAUCUGCGUGGACUUUUGCAGAUAAGCAUUCGAGCAAUAGAUGGCUCCUAAACUUUUACAUAGCUGAUUUUGGCAAACACGUGUUUUUUUUUUUUUUUUUUUUUUUUUAGUGAAAGUGACUGAUUGUCAUUCACUCGUUGGUUUUGAGGUCUGAUCGAGUAAAACUGGCAGUUGCUCGAUCAUUAGAUACGUUUCUCAAGAGUAGUAUCUUCGGAGAUGCAUGAAGUUCCAUGCUCUGGGAACAGGUUCGCCAGCCGAUGUCUCGAAGUUUCCAGAGUGUCGACCGAUAUUCACCGUGGUUUGUCGAUCGACGUUCGUUCUUUCUUGUCGAUCAAUUUUGACAUCUUCUCCAAAUUCUCCUUCUUCCUCCUCAAGGUCGAUGGCCUCUUUCUCAGUUCUCGAGGUAUUUCUGACUCGGUGUUGGGAUCAUCGAGGAUUAUAGGGCGUGACCUAUUUUCAUCGGCUUCCUCAACUACAACAUGUUUCUCUGUGUUGUUGAUUUCUAUUGUGCUUGGAAUGAGGCAUUUUCCGCUUCUCAAUAACACGACAUUAACUUGACAUUUCAGGUUCGCGUCAGUGCGCCCAGGGAGACGUCAUGUCUCUCUUUUGAUGGCGGUUUCAUUUUCCGCGACCCGACUGUCCAGUCUCUUAAUGUGUUCACUCAAAGUGUCAAACUUCCGCAUCAGCUCACUAAAGAUUAAGUCUUAUCUUUCCGUUCAGGUCAGUGGCCAAUUUGCGAUUUCCCGUGAAAGCUUGGUUUAGCCUAAAUUUCGCUCUGCCUCGGCGUGAUCAAACAGUAGCAUCAUAAUUUUGGGUAAAGCUAUCGGGGUUAGGAUACUUAUUUUCCAAGGUUUGCCUAUCUACGAAAUCUAUUUGCUGUUCUAGCUCAGAUAGGGUAUCAUCAUCAAUUUGGUAAAUUCCAAAUUGGUUCUGUCUUUCAAAAGCAGGAUGGGGUGAGUCUAGAUGUUCUUUAAUUUCGAGUAAAGGUGACUCAUCAACUGAGUCAACUUUCCUUCCUAACUCUACGUCCAUCAUUUCGUAGGAUCUUCCUGUAGCUAUAUUCUUGGUCAAACGCUUCGCUUCUUCAGGGUUUUUGGUACUGAAGUUCCCUUCACUGGCUAUGUCGAGCGUAAUUUGGUAAUGAAGCUUAAUACCUCCAUAAAGGUAUUAAUGAGUUGUGGCUCUGAAUAGCCAUGGUGGGGGCAUUCAAGUUGGUAGCUCUUGAAUCUCUCCCAUGCGUUUCUGAACGAUUCCUGUGGACCUUGACAGAAUGUGGAGAUUUUCUUCCUUACAUCCUAGGAGUGCGCCUCAUCGAAGAAUUGAUUGAUAAAGGCACUCCUUAUCUCCUUUCAACAGGUCAAAGAUCUUGUUGGUAUUUGGUCUAGCCAUUUUCUGGCGUCGCCUUCUAAGGAAAAUGGAAAGAGUUUACAUCGAUUGUAUUCAUCAUCCAUCAACUCUUCUAGAUACUUGGUGUGAUCGUGCAGUCGCUAUGAGAUGGUCCCAUGGAAAGGGUUUUGACGUACCAUAAUUAAGUAUUCGGGACUGAUCCCGGAUUUCUUGGUAUCAUCUUUUGGUAGUCUAAUUGCGGACCUAUUGGAAUAGGUUCUUCCAGGGUUUAAGUUGUCUUGCAAAGGCAAUUUCCACUCAUUAUCUCUUUCUGAGAGAUUUAAUUUGAAGAGGGAUUUCAGUCCCCUGUUCAUUCAUGAUUUGGUUGUUUGCGUUGCUUAGUUGACUUUCAGGUUCUCCUAGGACUACUCCCUCAUUAGCAUCAUUGGUAAGAGAAAACUUACCUGCUUCCGGCGGGGUGUUGUCGAUCGAUGUUUGAUGUUCGACUUCGACCGAUAUUGCUGCCGACUUGUCGCUCGAUAUUGCUCUCACUUUGUCGAUCGAUGUCCGGCCGAAAUCCAUGUUUUCCAUCUUGAAGCUCCUGUGUCAGCAAGAAAAGAGAGAAAUUUUUUAGCAAAUUUAGCAACAAAAUCUAUAUUAAAUUCUAAACGUAAUCUAAUGGUAAUAAGAAAGAGUCCCCGGCAACGGCGCCAAAUUUGAUAUCACUCAAAUUAUCCUAAGAACUCAAGUAAGAGGUUCAGAUGUAGUACUUAGGGAUCGAAUCCACAUAGACUCUAGUAUUACACAAUAGAUUAUGGUCUUUAAAUAAAUCUAGAUUGAAUGGUUUAUAAGUUUUAAAAGCAGUAAAUGGAUUGGUGAGCAAAUUUAUUGCUCGAUUGAUUGUUUUGAGGUUGUUAACAGUUGGUUGAAGUAGCUAGAUUCAGGUAUAUUCUCAGGUAUGAUAAGUAAAACUUAACUUGGGAAAUUAGGGGUUUAUUAAUUGUUCUUGAAUUCAAAUUAAGAUAUAAUCUAUUUGAUCAUCUAAUCUGGUUCUCGGAUCUCAACUCUCGUAUGUUAAUCACGAGAAAGUGUCGAUCGAUAAUUGUUUGUGAAUAUCGAUCGAUACAUCUUUCAAAAUAUCGAUCGACAGGGCUAUCGCUGCGUCGACGAUAUUUCUUCCAGAAAGCUUUACGGACAAAUUUCAUUUAUAUUCUCUAACUUAAUAGACCAACUCUCGUUUGUAUCUAGUCAGUUAGAUCAUUCUAGUUAUUUUCAGGCACUGAGUCAAGCAACGGCUUGAUCCCAAUUAAUCCUAAGAUCUAAGUUUAAAGGAUGAUCAAUCCUAAACUUAGCUUUAAGCACAACUAGAUGAAGGAACUAUAUUUCUAAACACCCUAGCAAUUGUUAUGUCAGUAUUACAUUUAUCAACCUAUUUGAGAAACCUAAAUCUAACAGUAAGGACUACUCAGACAUAUUCAUGAAACACAUAGUUAUGAUGGUCUGAAUAAUACUUAGAUAAAAUAAAUAGUAAAAGUAACAUAAAUAAUGAAAACAAGGGAGUUCAAGAUCUUCUCUGUUUUGCAGUAGAUGAUCUAUCUCUCCAAUCCUAAGCCCUCCUCUUUCAAUGGUGGCUUCUUGCCUCCUCCAAAUAAGGUCUAAAAAUGUCUCUAGGCAAGUCUGCCUCUAAAAUGAUACAAAACCCUAAUAAAUAGCCUAAUAAGCGGUCAGGGACUAAUGAUGUAAUUAUUAAGAUUUUUGUGAAACUUGAAAUCUUCUAAUUUGUCAUUAAUUCUUGGAUAGCUUCAUAAUCGAUCGAUGUGAGGAACCCAACAUUGAUCGAUAUUUGGUGGUAACUGUCUGUCGAUACUGAAUUGCGACCGUCGACCAUCUCUUGCUUCCAAGCAAAGCUCAAAAAAUCUUCAAAAAGCUCCAAAUACAUCAUUUUCUUCCAGAUAGUACAUGAACCUGUAAUUGCUCUAAAUAGACUCUAUAUAGUAAUAAUAUAUCUUAAAACAUUCAUAAACCAUGGUUAAAAAUGGGUAAAAUUCAUGGUCUAUCAGUAUCAUUGCUUCUCUGAUGCAUUACUCUCUAGAAUCACUAAAGGGUUUUGUUGAUCAAAUUGUCAGGAGCAAAGGGAGAUCGUUGAAGCCAUUGUAACUCUUUUGCUGAGUGACGAGAGAGGAUCAAUCAUCCCUCUCCGUUUCCUCCUUGGAAUGUUAAAGAUCAGAAUUACAAUCGAUGUAGAGAUCUCUUACAUGCAUGAGUUAUAACGUAGAACUAGACUUUGACCCGCGCGUCUGCGCGGGUAUAUUUUUCAAAAGUAUGUUUCUAUUUGUUUUUCAUGUCAAUAAUAUAAGGGUUAUGCAAAAUACCCGAAUCUGAAGAACCGAACCGAUCUGGAUCCGAAAAUGUAGUACCAAACCCAAACCGAAAUUGAGUAAAUAUCUGACUUAUUCAAAAUUUUGGUUUUUAGAGAACCAAAACUGAAUCCGAUCCGAACCGAAGUAUUUCGGGUACCCGAAUGUAUACAAAAUAGAUUUAUAUACUUAUAUGAAUUUAUUAUUUUUAUAUUUAAUAUAUAUAAAACAUCUAGAAUAUAUAUGAUACUUUUAAGUUGGUUUAAAUACUUAAAAAUAUAUACAAAUAAUCAAUAGUAAAUAUAUAAAAUAGUAAAAGUAUACUUAAAACACCAAAAAUACUUAAAAUAAUUAUUGAUUCUCUAUCCAAAUAUUUGAACUAAAGUAAUUUAUAUGUUACCUUUAGGUAUUCUGAAAUUACGCAAAUUAAUUUAUAUGUUACCUUUCGGUCACUCAAACAGACCUGAACCGAACCCGAUUAUGUACCAGAUAGAUAAUUUCUCACAAUAAAAUGGACUUCCAAAUUUUCUUAAAAGUAUAAGCCCAUUACUUUUUUUUUCUUAAUAUACUGCUAUCCAUGUUUCCAAACAAACCUAUUUUUUAAAACUACAAUUUAUGUUUCCAAUCAAACCUCAUUUUUAAAACUGCAAUCCAUAUUUCCAUACAAACUUUUUUUUAAACUACAAUCUAUCUUUCCAAACAAACUAUACAUGUUUCCAAACAAACCUAAUUUGUACUUGAGUUUUAAUAAGAUAGAUAGGUCAGCAGUUAGAGAGCGUGAGACUUCAUGAUCUGCCUAUACCUUCUGUAGGAAGGGAAGAGUCCAUGUACGAUGUGGAUACUGUCUAUAGGAUACCCACACGCUUACUUGAGAGGGUUGAUGAAAAAGAUGAAGACAAUGGUUAUGAUACAGACUUCACUGGUCAUCACCAUGGUUCGUUGCUGAAAGUGGGAAGGAUCAGGAAUGCGUACUUGGCUGAGAUUGCACGGGAUCCAUACCUAAGUCUACAGAAGUUCACAGCCAUUAUAGAGAGGUUACCUAAUUACGCACGUAUGUAAUAACUUUAAAAUAUAACUAUACACAUGUUUAUUAUUUCAAUCCAAGUUUUAUAUGUGUUUAUUUGAAAUGAUGGCUUGAGGUUAUUUUUUAUGAGUGUUUGAUCUGCGUGGACUUUUGCAGAUAAGCAUUCGAGCAAUAGAUGGCUCCUAAACUUUUACAUAGCUGAAUGCCGUCGUACGGUUUAAGACUCGAAGAUUGCCGCCUUCAAGGCCCUCACCGGGACCGUAUACACCCGUUGAACCGAGAGCCCAUAUAGAGCAAGCGGACCGAACAGCACACCACCUCUGGAGCAGCCUCAACCGAGUUAGAGAGAAGACCGAGAGCUUAACUGAAAACCUACCUCCAUCGGAACCUACUUCGAAGCCCUGCCUUCAGCUAGUAGCACGCUGGAAUUAGCACAAGGAGAGAAGCUUGGCGACGGUGGACGCCACAACGACGGGACCUCUAACUUUGAGGCGAGCAAACCACCAGUAACGAGACGAUGGCCAAAGCAACACCACGCGCUGCCACCGGAGCAACCUCAAAGCAGGAGAGAGACUCACCCACUCAAGGACUCCACGCACUUCCCCCGAAGACCACCGGAGGAGACAAAGACAGAGAGAAUCACCAGAGUUGCAAGCAACCCAGAUCUGAGACCAAGAGGCCUCCCCGACGAACCACGCGCCGCCAAACCGAAAAGCUUAACGAGAUCUAAAAAAAAAUCUCCUAGACAAAGUCGCCGGAGCAAAACUGGAAGUAGCCACAGCAAGGAGCAAACGCCGUCCUCUAGCGUCACUACCCUCACCGGGAACAACACAGAUCUACUCCAUAAACCCGGAUCUGAACCAGGAGAGAAUCUCAGAGCUUCACCUCCUCCGACACAGAGAAAAGACCACGGAGAUGACGAUGAGAAGCGGAGGAAACAGGGGGGGCUCCAGCGACCGCAAAAGGACACGGCAGCCACCGGAGCGGGGAGUAAACGCGGCGGAGGAAAGUUGAGUAGAGAGAGGGGAGUAAACACAGAGGGGAGUAAAGGGUUUUUUCUCUAUGUCGGCAAACACGUGUUCGUUCAAGUUUGCAUAUAAACUUUAGUUUUAUAAUUUUGUAUAAACCCAUGUAAGCUAUAUGGACGUUCAUCUCAAAGCUUUGUGGACCACUUAUUAAAAAUUAAAAGUAUAUGAGUUCACUAUAAUAACCCAUGUAAGAAAGCUGUUUGGAAAGACAUUCAAAAUUAAAUAGCCCUUAUAUAUUUUUACUUAGUUUGACAUCCGAAUUCAACUCAAUGUAUAGUUUCCAUGUAGCUAGAAAUACUUAAAUCAUUGUUGCCAUUUAAGUUCUUUGGUAUUUAUGAGGGUGCAUAUUAAAAGAAACGUGUUCGGCUUUUUCUACAUUAGUUGGAGAAGUUUCUUUGAAAUCAGUCUUUCCAUAUGUCUAUAUACAAUAUAUUUUUAUUGCUUAGAUUAUGUUUUGAAAAAUUUAUCAUUACUGUUAUCAUAAGACCCAAAUCAAGACCAAAUAUUGUAUUUCUAUUAUACAUGGAAACGAUCUAAAAGUUAUAUGAUGCUUGGAGAAGUGUCUACACUUUUUAAUAUUGUGAAAGAUUUUGUGACGAACAUUACAUAUACGACCAUCCUAAAUUGGCAAAUCUUAAAUAAACGAAUCAUAAAUAACAUUUACUAUGAUGUACCUAUAUAAUAUCAUAUGAUAGACGAGUCAAAACUUAUUACUUCCCUCACUCUUAAAACAUCGGUAGCAUUCAUCACUGGUUGUUUUCAUCCAUGUCUCUAAUUUCAAACCAUUCAAAUCUCUACGGAAGAUCAGUGUCAAGAUCAUUCGUUUUAGAAGCAGUAUUCAGAUGCUGGUAGACUAACAAUUGAGAGGGUUGUCAUCGACCUUAACGUGACUAAAUAAUGUAUACAUAUGAUUACAAACGUUUAUGUCCAUGUUUAAUUUAAUAUCUUCUAAGGAUUUUUUAAUCUCAUUUUAACUGGGAUUGAAGAUUCAAGCAAAAGUUAAAAAAAAAAUGGUUAGUCAGUUUGAUCUUGAAAUUUUAUCUGAUCAUGAAACAGACUAAAUGGUUGUAUAGGAAUUCCAUAACUAGCCUAAACAGACUAAAUGGCUGUUCCGGACUUUUAUUUGAUCCUGAAAUUUCUAAGGGUAAUUUCUAAUGUACAUUACUUCAAAUCAAUGUAAGCUUAAUUGUAUUCUAUUUAUUUAUUUUUAAAUUAGCUGGAGUAUUUUGUAUAACUUAUAGGUUCAAUUGUAAUGUCUUAUAUAAAUUCUGUAACAGCAUUCCAAGCACCGCAAAUUGAUGUUAAGGCUGAAGGGUUAGAGAUUUAUGUGAGAAUCUAUAACUAAAUAUUCACCACAUAUGAAGAUUCUAAUUCUUUUGAAAGUUGGAAUAUUUUUUCCUUUCAACAUCUCCCAGAUAUAAUGAAGUAGUUUGUCUUAAUAAUUUAAUUUUCUUUUUCUUGGACUAUUAUCUAGAUUUGACUUGAUUUUUCAUACGUUUAAAAAUUAUAAUAUAAAGCGAUUGGUUUGACAUUGGGAUUGUAUAAAUUCAUAUAACAUGAAACCAAACAAAUAAUAAUAGUUUUUGAUUUAUAACCAAAAAAAACAAGGGAAAUUGGGUUGUAUAACCAUCAAACAAAUUAUAAUUUAAUGGCUAACCAAAAAACCUUGAUCACCUAUACACUUUCCUUCUUAUACAUAAUAUUGCCAUAUUGCCCUCAGAUACAACCGGUUGAAACCUGCAAGAAAAAAUAAAGAAAAAUUAAUAAUAAUAAUAAUAAUACUCAAAAGUAACGUGUGGCCUUUGAAAAUCACACAUUCUCUCUCACAUGUGCUUUGUUUUGGUAACUUUACAGUAGAUGAAAUUCUUCUUCCCAGAUUUUUUCUUGAAUUGAUUUCUUCUCAAGAGAAGAUCAAUCAACUGUGGUAAAAAAGAGGCAACGAUGAAGGUGUAGACGGUGAGAACACACACCAUCUCUUUAAUUUUUUCCUCCAUCUCUUAACUCACUGAUUCUUACAAUCAUGCUUUUGUUUUCAUAUUGUUUUCGUUUUUAAAUCUUGUAAAUGAGAUGGGAUUAUCGCAUCAAAGUUAGAUCUAUGAUAGAUAUCCACUGAUGAAGAGUAACGACGGCGGAUCUGUAAAGUGUUGUUGUGUCAGAAAAAGGAGUACAUGAAGACGAUCUUUAUAUGGAAAUAAAGAAUAAUGAGAGUGAGCCAAAUGAAUGCGUAUCAGCAUGUCUAAGAAUGAAGAAUUGAAGAAGAUGAACUUUUCGUCUAUACUAUAUUCGGUGAAAUGAAUAGUAUAGUAUAUAUUCUUUAGGGUAGCUAUUUGUGUAAAGAUACCAUACUAUUUGAGACGAAAUGCUAUACUAUUCCUUAAAAUGUAAUAAUAUGCCAUGUUUUCAAAUUCGAUAGUUAUUUUCAUUGUCAUUUUCUGUGAUUGAUUGUAAUAUGAAAUUUUUUUUUGUAAAUGUUGCACAAAUUUGAUUAUUUGGAAUCUUCAUUAUUACCAAUUCUAGUUUAGAAAUCUAAAUUCUAUUAUUUAGAUGAAUGGUGGUGAAGUUGAGGUUUGCAUUAGAUUUUGAGAUUUGGGUUUACAGUUUAGGGUUUUGGGUUUAUAUUUGGGUUUAGGAUUUAAUAAUUAGUGCUUAGGGUUUAGUAAUUUCGUUCUUAAACUUGGUCAUUUGGAAAAUGUAAAUGGAGUGGACAAGUACAUCUAUACUAUUUAUAGCGGUUCCAUACUAUGUCGUCUACAUUGAGAAAAUUGACAACAUAUUAUAUAGAUUGUUUGGGUUUAUACUUUAGUUAUUUGGGUUUAGAUUUAGUAACUAGGGGUUUUUAGUAUUUAAGUGGGUGAGUAGAGUUUAGUUUUUAGGGUUUAUAUUUAGGUUUAGAGUUUAGUGAUUAGGGUUUAGGGUUUAUAUUUGGGUUUAGGGUUUAGUGAUUUGGGUUUAGGGUUUAUAUUUGGGUUUAGAGUUUAGUGAUUAGGGUUUAGGGUUUAUAUUUGGGUUUAGGGUUUAGCGAUUAGGGUUUAGGGUUUAGUGAUUAGGGUUUAGGGUUUAUAUAUGUGUUUAGGGUUUAGUGAUUAGGAUUUAGAGUUUAGUGAUUAGUGUUUAGGGUCUAUAUCUGGGUUUAGAGUUUAGUGAUUAUGGUUUAGGGUUUAUAUUUGUGUUUAUGGUUUAGUGAUUAGGGUUUAGGGUUUAGUAAUUUUGUUUUCAAACUAGAGUUUAGGGUUUAGAGUUUAUAUGUCAUGUCUUCAAAUUUGAUAUUUCUCUUCUAUGCCAUUUUGUAUGAUUGCUCGUAAUAUAAAAUUAGUUUCAUUCAAAUGUUUGACAAU